rfam:Naumovozyma dairenensis CBS 421 chromosome 1, complete genome
UUCCUCGUGGCCCAAUGGUUACGGCGUCUGGCUACGAACCAGAAGAUUCCAGGUUCGAGUCCUGGCGGGGAAG